rnacentral:rRNA from 1 species
GACAGCAGCCGCCGCGGUAAAACGAAGGUCCCGAGCGUUGUUCGGAAUCACUGGGCGUAAAGGGAGCGUAGGCGGCGUGGUAAGUCAGAUGUGAAAUCCCGGGGCUCAACCCCGGAACUGCAUCCGAUACUGCCAUGCUAGAGGAUUGGAGAGGUAGCUGGAAUUCUUGGUGUAGCAGUGAAAUGCGUGGAGAUCAAGAGGAACACUCGUGGCGAAAGCGAGCUACUGGACAAUAACUGACGCUGAGGCUCGAAGGCCAGGGUAGCGAAAGGGAUUAGAUACCCCAGUAGUCCCUGUCUCUUAUAC